AGAGUUUGAUCCUGGCUCAGGACGAACGCUGGCGGCGUGCUUAAUACAUGCAAGUCGAACGGAGUUAAGGGUUUCGGCCUUUAACUUAGUGGCGAACGGGUGAGUAACGCGUGAAUAACCUGACUCAAAGAGGGGGAUAACAACGGGAAACUGUUGCUAAUACCGCAUGAGACCACAACACCGCAUGAUGAAGGGGUCAAAGAUUUAUCGCUUUGAGAGGGGUUCGCGUCCCAUUAGGUAGUUGGAGGGGUAACGGCCCACCAAGCCAACGAUGGGUAGCCGAGCUGAGAGGCUGAUCGGCCACACUGGAACUGAGACACGGUCCAGACUCCUACGGGAGGCAGCAGUAGGGAAUAUUGGGCAAUGGGCGCAAGCCUGACCCAGCAACGCCGCGUGAGGGAAGAAGGUUUUCGGAUUGUAAACCUCUGUCCUAUGUGACGAAGGAAGUGACGGUAGCAUAGGAGGAAGCCCCGGCUAACUACGUGCCAGCAGCCGCGGUAAUACGUAGGGGGCGAGCGUUAUCCGGAUUCAUUGGGCGUAAAGCGCGCGUAGGCGGCCCGGCAGGCCGGGGGUCGAAGCGGGGGGCUCAACCCCCCGAAGCCCCCGGAACCUCCGCGGCUUGGGUCCGGUAGGGGAGGGUGGAACACCCGGUGUAGCGGUGGAAUGCGCAGAUAUCGGGUGGAACACCGGUGGCGAAGGCGGCCCUCUGGGCCGAGACCGACGCUGAGGCGCGAAAGCUGGGGGAGCGAACAGGAUUAGAUACCCUGGUAGUCCCAGCCGUAAACGAUGGACGCUAGGUGUGGGGGGACGAUCCCCCCGUGCCGCAGCCAACGCAUUAAGCGUCCCGCCUGGGGAGUACGGCCGCAAGGCUAAAACUCAAAGGAAUUGACGGGGGCCCGCACAAGCAGCGGAGCAUGUGGCUUAAUUCGAAGCAACGCGAAGAACCUUACCAGGGCUUGACAUAUGGGUGAAGCGGGGGAGACCCCGUGGCCGAGAGGAGCCCAUACAGGUGGUGCAUGGCUGUCGUCAGCUCGUGUCGUGAGAUGUUGGGUUAAGUCCCGCAACGA
rnacentral:rRNA from 1 species